rnacentral:rRNA from 1 species
CAGUAGCCGCGGUAAUACGAAGGGGGCUAGCGUUGCUCGGAAUUACUGGGCGUAAAGGGCGCGUAGGCGGACAGUUAAGUCAGAGGUGAAAGCCCAGGGCUCAACCUUGGAACUGCCUUUGAUACUGGCUGUCUAGAGUGCGGGAGAGGUGUGUGGAACUCCGAGUGUAGAGGUGAAAUUCGUAGAUAUUCGGAAGAACACCAGUGGCGAAGGCGACACACUGGCCCGUAACUGACGCUGAGGCGCGAAAGCGUGGGGAGCAAACAGGAUUAGAUACCCGUGUAGUCCCUGUCUCUUAUAC